GACGAACGCUGGCGGCGUGCUUAACACAUGCAAGUCGAGCGAUGAAAUCCCUUCGGGGAUGGAUUAGCGGCGGACGGGUGAGUAACACGUGGGCAACCUGCCUCAAAGUGGGGGAUAGCCUUCCGAAAGGGAGAUUAAUACCGCAUAACAUUAGUUUUUCACAUGAAGUACUAAUUAAAGGAGUAAUCCGCUUUGAGAUGGGCCCGCGGCGCAUUCGCUAGUUGGUGAGGUAACGGCUCACCAAGGCCACGAUGCGUAGCCGACCUGAGAGGGUGAUCGGCCACAUUGGAACUGAGACACGGUCCAGACUCCUACGGGAGGCAGCAGUAGGGAAUAUUGCACAAUGGGCGAAAGCCUGAUGCAGCAACGCCGCGUGAGUGAUGAAGGCCUUCGGGUUGUAAAGCUCUGUCUUUGGGGACGAUAAUGACGGUACCCAAGGAGGAAGCCACGGCUAACUACGUGCCAGCCGCCGCAGUAA
rnacentral:rRNA from 1 species